rnacentral:rRNA from 1 species
GGAGUUAGCCGGUGCUUCUUCUGCGAGUAACGUCACAGAUGUAAGGUAUUAACUUACACCCUUUCCUCCUCGCUGAAAGUGCUUUACAACCCGAAGGCCUUCUUCACACACGCGGCAUGGCUGCAUCAGGGUUUCCCCCAUUGUGCAAUAUUCCCCACUGCUGCCUCCCGUAGGAGUCUGGGCCGUGUCUCAGUCCCAGUGUGGCUGAUCAUCCUCUCAGACCAGCUAGGGAUCGUCGCCUAGGUGAGCCUUUACCUCACCUACUAGCUAAUCCCACCUGGGCUUAUCCAUCAGCGCAAGGCCCGAAGGUCCCCUGCUUUCCCCCGUAGGGCGUAUGCGGUAUUAGCAGUCGUUUCCAACUGUUAUCCCCCACAAAUGGGCAAAUUCCCAGGCAUUACUCACCCGUCCGCCGCUCGUCAUCUUCAAAGCAAGCUUUUGAAAUGUUACCGCUCGACUUGCAUGUGUUAGGCCUGCCGCCAGCGUUCAAUCUGAGCCAGGAUCAAACUCUGA